rnacentral:rRNA from 1 species
ACUCUCGGCAACGGAUAUCUAGGCUCUCGCAUCGAUGAAGAACGUAGCGAAAUGCGAUACUUGGUGUGAAUUGCAGAAUCCCGUGAACCAUCGAGUCUUUGAACGCAAGUUGCGCCUGAAGCCAUUAGGCUAAGGGCACGUCUGCCUGGGCGUCACGCAUCACG